rnacentral:rRNA from 1 species
UGCCCACAUGUGUUUUUCUUUGAAACAAACUUGCUUUGGCGGUGGGCCCAGCCUGCCGCCAGAGGUCUAAACUUACAACCAAUUUUUUAUCAACUUGUCACACCAGAUUAUUACUUAAUAGUCAAAACUUUCAACAACGGAUCUCUUGGUUCUCGCAUCGAUGAAGAACGCAGCGAAAUGCGAUACGUAAUAUGAAUUGCAGAUAUUCGUGAAUCAUCGAAUCUUUGAACGCACAUUGCGCCCUCUGGUAUUCCGGAGGGCAUGCCUGUUUGAGCGUCGUUUCUCCCUCAAACCGCUGGGUUUGGUGUUGAGCAAUACGACUUGGGUUUGCUUGAAAGACGGUAGUGGUAAGGCGGGAUCGCUUUGACAAUGGCUUAGGUCUAACCAAAAACAUUGCUUGCGGCGGUAACGUCCACCACGUAUAUCUUCAAACUUUGACCUCAAAUCAGGUAGGACUACCCGCUGAACUUAAGCAUAUCAAUAAGCGGAGGAAAAAGAUCAUUACUGAUUUGCUUAAUUGCACCCCAUG